rnacentral:lncRNA from 1 species
AGCCCCCGGCAUCACCUCCCGGCCGCGGCUGCGCCCGCUCGGAGCGCGGCUCGCGGACCCCGGGGACCGGAAACAGGGCGGCGGGCGGGGAGCAGGCGAGCGAGCCAGGCUCAACUCCGAAUGGAUUGGAUUGCGAGUCUGCACGUGAGAAAACCGUUUGGCUUGGCUUGGACCCCUGCCGCCCCCCACCUCCUCCACACACACCCAGUCCAGGGGUCCCCUUUAUCACCCUUUGCUUGCAACUCCAAAAGAAGUUGCCCACCUCCUGAGUCACAACACAAGGUCGAAUAAUUCCUCUAGAUGAAAGAUCAGUUUCAUUUCAAAACGAGAAUAGGUUCCUUUUUUUAUUUUCUCCACAUGGUACAAAAUAAACAGAAUUUGCUUUAAAAAAAAUCA